UCGCAUAUCGACCGCGACCCC
rnacentral:rRNA from 8 species